GGUCCUGGCUCAGUGGUAGGGCGCUCACGUAGCACGCGUGAGGCCCUGGGUUCGAUCUCAGCACCA
rnacentral:tRNA from 1 species